UAUAGAGCUGCCAGCCUGACUAGUUCACUGUAAUGGAAAGGAUAAUGUCUUGUCUGCUUCCAUUCAUACCAGAAAGAAGCAAAUACAUGUGUUGGUGUGCCUAGUAGGAGCUCAUCAAGAUUAGGCAUCACAACAGCCACUUUGAAGCCAUCCUUCACAAAACCACUAAAGAAAUUAAGUUCGAUUGUCUCAGAGAAAACCACCACACAAGCAUCCCGGUGACGGUUAAGUACACUCUCAAGUCCCCUCUGAUACCGAGCCGUAAACAUCCAUGCUGGAGAAUUCCAGACCAUGAAAACUCUCAUAGUACAUUUUGCUUUCCUGAAAAAUGAGUCCAUAAAGUUAGUGAAAGACAACCGGGGGUGCAAGCCCGGAAAGUAACCCCAUCUCUUCCCAUCAGCAAAGACUAGCCCAGAAACUUCACCUCGGGAAUCAUCUUCCACAACUUUCAUAUUACCAUUCCUUAUAUCUUCCUUACUCCUAGGAGCUGAAUCUCCACCACUAUCAUGAACAACUCUUUUUCCAAUUCUAGCAUCAUCGUUUAAAGUUCUACGCUUCACUCUCUUCCCUCUAUUCACAUCCUCAUCAUUAGUUUUCACCAAAUCACUAUUGAAUUUCAACUCCUUUGACUCGAAAACAUCAUUUUUGGCCAAUCCCGCCAUCUUCUGUAACUCCAAAGCAUCAUUAACCAACUCAGAUUUUGUCAAUUCAGACACUGAAAGUGGUUUUUUCACCAGAAAUGGAACUUUCUUAAACUCAUUCAUCAACCCUUUUAACACAAUCUUAUCCCCUUUAGUCAAUCCAGUAGUCCCUGCUCCAUCAGGAUCCUGCAACAUGGGAUUAUUAUUUGGAUUUAACGCCUCCAGAUUUGACUUGAACAUUCUGUCACGCCUCAAAAAAUCACUCUUCUUUUCAAACCACUCACCCCACCCUUCCCUCAAAGGUGAUCCUUUUAGUAACAAAGCAUCUUCAACACUCUCAAUUUCGCUCAACUUCAUCCUCAUUUGCACAUCCACUGGAAGAUCAUCCGAUCCAAACGCGGCCUUAGAUUCAUCACUCUUAAACCCUAAUCCUAACUUCAUCCUCGAUUCAAAAUUAACGUAAUCUUCCCAUUCCUCAAUUGAUCGUUUGUUAAACGCUCUCCGUACAACUCCGUGCCUCUGAUCGUAGAAAUAUGUCGACGAAACCCUAGGGUAUUGAUUGAUGAUUUCUUCAUCGUCCUCUUCGGAUUCAUUGGAUAAGAGGAACUCAUCAUCGUUAUUGUUGUUACUGUCAGCAACGUCGAGCUCGUCAAUGCGGUCAUCUGAGGAGCGGUAAUCAGCGUCAGCUAAAUCGUCGACGAGAGGGUUGUUCAGUGAAAUGGUGUCGUAUUGGAGGGGAUGCGGAUGGGGAUUGUUAGGUUGGAGGAAGAAGUUGAGGCGACUGUAGAGGAGUGAAACAGAGAGGAGGAGGAGAAUCGCUGCCGCUAAGGCGCAAAUGUGCGCGCCGUAAAGCGGACGCCGCCGCGUUCGGAGGUUCCGAAGCAUGUGGUACGGCGGGCGGUAGGCGGUGGCGACUUCAGAUGUCA
rnacentral:misc_RNA from 1 species